ensembl:lncRNA
AUCGGUGCAAAUUGUAAGUUUGUAUCAUAAUGUCUGGUGUUUUCGUAUUUGUUGGUUUGUUUUUAUUUUGUUUUAUUUUGCGAGUUGGUAAUUUUUGCUGCUCCAGCCAGCCAGAGAAUCCCCCGCCGCCCCGCCCUCUCCUCCCUGUGCCGCAAGCAGCAGGCGCACCUCGCAAACGGAGGGCGCCCUUACUCCCAGCAAAUGGGCGAUAGAAAACCGAUCGGUGCCUAUGACAUUCCCAAUAUGCGCUGGCAUGAUGUCGGGGCAGCAUGAGUACGAGCAAUUUUUUUUUUUUGCCGAUGCCCGUGAUGCCGCCCCCCACCACGAUGCCGCCCUGGGCAACCGCCCGUGUCGCCCGUAUCUAAAACCGCUACUGCCUGAGAUGUCAGCUAAAUCAGCAACUUAUGUGAACUUGACAAUGUGGGUAAGUUGAGCACAGCAGGAUUCAAAACUGCCUCACGUGACUGCUACCGAGGUGCAUCAUGGGGAAUUGGCGGUUAACGACAUGCUCACUUUACUUGGACGUUUUCUAAUCGUCUUCUUUGGAAUAUGCUUUCAAGGUGAGUAACAUUGGUUAUAACUAUAAGGAAAGAGAGCUACAAAAGUUGGAACAUGUUUUGAAUUUAUGGCAUGACGUGUGUUUUUCUCUUUUACCGAAAUGUUUGCUUUAGCUAAUGUAGCUUUAGCCGACAAGGUCCAGCUUGUGUGUCAUGACCAAACUUGACCUAAUAAACUGACACAUGGCCUUUUUUAUGGGUUUAAUGUGGCACUGACCAAAUCACAAGUAUUGUGCCGCUAGCUUUAAGAUUGUGCACUCAACCACUGUUGUGAUAUUAGCAAGCUAACUCAGCUAAUUAAUAAAGCUUAUUUCAUAUUGUCUCUGUACUUGUAAAUUUCUUUCAAGUUCACAGGCUGUUGUAUUUUGGUGGAAGUUCAUUUUGGCAAUAUUUCCAAUAACUGACUGGGUUCAAAAAGAACUUUUUGGCAGGACUCCGAUGCUUGUUGUC